rnacentral:rRNA from 1 species
CCUACGGGUGGCAGCAGUGGGGAAUAUUGCGCAAUGGGCGAAAGCCUGACGCAGCGACGCCGCGUGAGGGAUGAAGGUCUUCGGAUCGUAAACCUCUGUCAGCAGGGAAGAACGGUCACUGUGCUAAUCAGCAGUGAAUUGACGGUACCUGCAAAGGAAGCACCGGCUAACUCCGUGCCAGCAGCCGGUGUAAUACGGAGGGUGCGAGCGUUACUCGGGAUGACUGGGCGUAAAGCGCUCGUAGGCGGUAUUUCAAGUCAAGAGUGAAAUCCCCGCGCUCAACGUGGGAACUGCCUUUGAAACUGGCAAACUGGAGUGUGUGAGAGGAUAGUGGAAUUACAGGUGUAGGAGUGAAAUCCGUAGAUAUCUGGAGGAACAUCAGUGGCGAAGGCGACUAUCUGGCACAUAACUGACGCUGAGGAGCGAAAGCGUGGGUAGCAAACAGGAUUAGAUACCCCAGUAGUC